AAUACAGCUACUAGAUUACAAUCCUUUCAUUUUCAAUAAUGAAGAUGAGAGUUACCAUUUGUGAGAUUUGCUGUAUGUCAGGCCCCAGAUUAGGUGAUUUCCAUGUUAUCUCUGAUCCUUAUAACUCUGAAGGUGGACCGCCUGGGUCCAUUUAUCCACGACCGCAUAAGAAACCAACCCCAAAACAGCAACACGAAACUAGUCAUUUUAUUAACUCAGAGACUCUCUGGGGUGGGAUUUGGGAAGAGCAUCCAGGUGACUGCUUAUCUCUGUUCCGUGAUGACUGGGGCCUUAGCUGCUGUGUUCCAGCACCAGUUCUCCCACUCCAACUACCACCAAUCAUAUCCUUUAUAAUAAAUCAGCAAAACAAGUAAAGUUUUUUUUCCCCCGGCUUCUGUGAGUUGAUCUAGAAAAUUGCCAAACCGGAGGUGGGGGUGAGGGCAGUAUGGGAACCUCACAUCUGUAGUGAGCCGGGCAGAAGUAUGAGUAGUCUGGACUUCCCGUUUACAGCUGGCAUCCGAAGUGGGACUGAGCCCUUUCACUGUGGGUAGAUGACGUCAGCCCUUUAGCUGCAUGCAUAGUAUCAGCAAGGGAUUGAAUUGUUGGACACCCAGGUGGCAGAGAAUUGGUUGUCGGUGUAGAAAAAAAAACUCCACACGGUCUCCCAUAAGCUUCUACGUGCCAACUCUGAGUUCUAAGCCCAAUCUACUUUGAUUCAAGGCUCUCCUCUGUCCACAACAUUGCAUCUCGAUACCAAAAUCUCCAAAGCUUUGGGUUCCCUUUGCGUAUCACCUUCUCUUGCCAUCUGACCGUCAUCUGACCUUAUCACGAUCCCUUUGAUUCUCUUUUAUCAUCCGUGAAGCCAUUUGUUCUCAGAUUUCAUUUCUGCCUGGAAACAAGGGACAGACAUGUCCCUGUGCACAAUGCAUUCCCUUCGGGGUCCCAGGCCACAGGCAUAGAUGAGGGAGCUCUGGGGACAAGACACAGAGCUGACACUGACACCCCCCCCCCUUCAUUUUCUCACAGGAGACAGGUGCAGACAGGGAGCUCACUAUUGGGAUAACACUGCUGUCUGCUUUAAAACACAUGAGAAGUGAAUCCUUUGCCACGUCGGGUACUUAAAUAUUUUUCCUUAUAAUCAACAAGCAGCCAGCUUUGCCACUGGAUGAGGCACUGUGGUUUGAGUUCACAGCUUAAAACACUUGGCUGUGGUGGACCCACCAGGUAAGAAGCUUUGUAAGGUGACCAGUAUGCCACUGAGUCCUGUCUGCGAUACACAGCUUCAUUCAUUUUACUUAAUGAGGACGUCAUCGGUCAGUUCUUGCAAAAUUCCAAAGAGGCAGAAAGGCUGCUUGAUUGAGACUCAUUUCCCCUGGCUGUGGACUGACUUUAUUAUCCAUAAUUAAUGGUGAGUAACUCGGUAGAUGGUAUCCCUUUGUAAGCAUGAAUUUCUAACCAAAGAACAUCUUUCAGCUCCGAUCAUUGUUCAAUUGAAUGUUGCCAUGGGACUACAGCUAUUUAUUCCUGCACAGUGUUUUUCCAGAGAACUGUGAUGUGGCUCUGGUGACAGAGUGUAUGUUUCAUAGCUAUGCAAUCCUUUCCUUUUUUCUUCUCUCUCUCUUAUUUAGCAAAGAGAAACAAAAGACCCUCACCAUAUGUGUAACAUUUCCCAUGAAUACGUUAGAGUGUCAGAAGGGAGACCGAUGCCGGAAGAUCCUGGCAGGGUAGAGGCCCCUCCUGACCGUUUCAUUUCUGUUUUCAUCUGGUGAUGUGCUAGAAAGUAGAUUUGACAUGAAGAACCGAAGAUCAUCCAGAAAUUGCUGAACACCCCGAUCGUGUGCAUCAGUGGUUCCAAACAGAUACAUCCUGGAAUAAUAAGCCCAUGGGUUUUAGAGUAAAUAUGUUCCCUUUCUCCUCCUCAGUCAGGACCCUGGUGCCCGUCUAUUUCACGAUACAGAUGUGCAUAGGGAACAGCUGUUGGGUUUGCCUGCCUUUUAUUCAUCCCAUCUUUUUCAGCUAAAACACUUCAGUUUUCUUUUGGGGAUCCACCCCUCUCCGGGGGUGACAGUCAAAGUGUAUAACAACUGGAAUGACAUGGGUAUUACCACACCCACACAAUCGGAAUGGAUGCUGACUGUGACACCUGCUGAACCCAGAUACGCUCAUUAGAUACUGUUUUGAUGAGUCCUGACAUCAAGAUGCCCUGACCUUCCUUCUCUAAGGGCCAAGCAUGGACCGAGCUAAGCCAAACAGACCCUCUGCCCUGAGAAUUUGCAUGCUGACAGGCAACACACACAAGGGCUGAAAACAUGUGGCACAGGUGGGUCCCAAACGUGUUGCCUGGAAAUGCCAGCUUCUCGUGUACCCUGCUUCCUGUCCUUUCCAAGACCUCAUUGUUCAGCUUUUCCUUUGUUCUAUAAACUAUAUCCAUUCAAUAAAUUUUAUUUAUUGAGUUA